rnacentral:lncRNA from 1 species
UGAAAUUAUAAAAAUAAUCCAAUCAAUUACAUACAUUUAAAGUACGACAUACAUACUGAUAGUUAAAAUCGGAUCGAGUGGCAAUGUCUCUCGUAGAUAUCCAAAUCAUCAACAUAGUCAGGAGGCACAUCAGCCCAUUAUUCUAACCAAGCGGCAUUGUAGUUUUGUAUAUUCAUCCCAUAAGGAAUGUGCUCCAGGUUAUAAGCACUCUCAGAUCUCGCUGAAGCUCUAGCUCUGAGAGGUAUUAUCUGGCUGAUAAAACAACUGUAAAGGAUCCCAUCCGAAUAAGUCGGCAACAAAAUCCGACCUAUAAGAUGCUCCGGGCUACAUAGGAUAAUAGCCACCGGAAAAUGCCUCAGACGCACCAUAUCCAUAUCCAUAACAAUAUGAUCAUAAGCUGCUUGUGGUUGUAGAUAAUAGAAUCCAGCAUACAACUCAGAACCUGAUACGUCUAUGGAUCCUACUUUACGUGCAAGAUCAUCACAAUUGCAUUAUGUCCUCCGAAAUGACCUCAAAGAGCCCAUCUUUUAUAUGCAAUUGAAUUCUGACGGGCUCCACCAAAUCGUGCACUGUGGCCCCUAUCCCAUGUAGCAAGCAUAAAUUAGGACACCAGUAAAUUGAAGACCACCCUGCGACUAUCUCAUAAACGAUGGUCUUCUAUCCUCCACUCCUUUUCUGAUCAGCAUAUCCAUUACCACUAAAAUUGAUACUCCUGGUUUCUGAAUCUGAGUGAACUAACUUCUCGACACUCUCCAUUGGGGCUACAGGUGCCUUUUGUUCUUUUUUAGUGUGUUGGGCAGCUGUCUUCUUACCAUUCGUGCCACUCGCUGCCUGUUUACCCUUCGUGCCCCUCUCUACCUGGCUAUGUUGAGAGGAUAUAUGACCCUCCUGACUGAGUCGGCCGGAUAAGUAGUGGCCUCGUCUAAACAUCUCUCAAUUAUAUCUUUAAGAGGAUAUCUCAGACAAAGAGUCAUGUGGUGGCCGACGACCCUAUAGCUAUAGUUGAUCAGUUAAAAAGAUGCGUGGAAUAUUGCUCUCUACCCAUUAUCCUGCAUUGACCCUAGUCCCACUAGCUACAAAACUGACCGAUCGUGGAGGCAAUCCUCGCUCAUUAAGCUCUGGCUUUUACUAUCCCACAAGCCAUCCGAUCAUAGAAUCAUUCUCAUCAACGAAAGCACUAUAGAUUGGAUGUGUACUUUAGAUCUAUUUUCUCCUGAAUGCACAUCAGCCUCAAUCUCAUCUUGUAAUGAACAAAUACAAGAUCGUUGAGACGC